rnacentral:tRNA from 1 species
GGGGGUGUAGCUCAAAUGGUAGAGCGCUCACUUAGCAUGCGAGAGGUACUGGGAUCGAUACCCAGCACCUCCA